rfam:Paucibacter sp. KCTC 42545, complete genome.
GCGGGUGUAGUUCAAUGGUAGAACUCCUGCUUCCCAAGCAGAUCACGUGGGUUCGAUUCCCAUCACCCGCU